rnacentral:lncRNA from 1 species
CCCCAAAACAUAUUCCAUGGCAUGGGAAAACAUAGAUAACAGUAACCACUGUGUUCCAUUUUUUCUAAACAAACAAAUACAUACACUUGGAUUAAAGAAAGAGAGUCUGAUAAGACACAAAAAGAGUUUUCCAUGAGGAUCUUGGAGUAAGAGUGUUUUACCCAAUCUUCCUCAAAUGGUUUUAAGAAUAUAACAAACAUUCAUUUCAUUGGAAAAUUUUAAAGAAGUUCAGUAAAAGCAUAAAAUUUUUAGUAACUCUUCCAUUGACCUCAUGAUGAAAUACAAAAUGUCAACAGGGCUUAUACAGCCCAUCACAAUUGCUUCAUUGUUGCCCUCUCACCUUCUACUUCCUUCUUUCUCCAAAUCCAUUGAAUUUUCAUUCCCUAUGAAGAUCCAUGCUCUCUUCCCUGAGUCUUUUCUCUAUCUGGGAGCCUCUCCCUCCUGCAUUAUAUAUCUCUGUCACCUCUGAUACAUCCUUCAAGUGUCACUUUAGAUGCUACUUCCUUUAAGAAUUUUCUAUUAAUCUUCUAAAUCAGAGUUCUUUCUCCUAGGUGCACAUAUUAAAUUAUUUAAGAAACAUUUCAAGGGCCUACUAUGUGUCAGGAAUCAUGUUAAAUUUUGACAAAAUACAUAUAUUCCAAUAGGAUCUAUUGGGUAAAAGAGACAGUCAACCAAGGGUAUUAAUUAGCAGAAAGUGAACUGUUAUACUAAAAUAUACAUCGAUAAAGUAGCAUAAAGAAAUAAGCAGUUUAUUUCUAUUUCAUGAAAAUGGAGGUAAGUGUUCCAGUCAGGAGGUAUCUAGACUUGAUGCAGCUAUGCACGAGACCAGGCCAACAGUGACUCUGCCAUCUUCAAAAACAUGGCCUCCGAAGUCACUCUAGUUCAAUACCAUCCAGUAGAACGUUCUAUAAUGAUGGAAAUGGUCUAUCCAUGUCUUUAUUUUCCAACAUAAUAACCGCAAGACACAUUUGACUCUUGAACAACGGAAUUGUGACUAGUACAACUAAGAACCUGAAUUUUACAUUUUAAUUAAUAGAAAUUUAAAGUUAAAUAAUUGUGUGUGGCUAGUGAGUGGCCAUGCCAGUUAGUGUAUUGGAACAAAAAAUAAUUCUGAGGUCUGGGAUCUCCUCUCAAGUGAAUGAAACCAGCAUUGCUAUCAUGGCUUCUGCUGACAUUUUAUUGGAA